AACUUUUUGAUUGUAUUUGUUUAUUAGUUCAUGAAUUCUCCUAAUUCAUUUUGUUAAUCACAAAAAACUAAAUUAUAAAUUAAAAAUUAGUAUUCGUUUCGUUGGUACAGCGAACACUACCUAGACAGACGUGGGUAGUAUAUUUGAUACCCAAUCAUUUCAAAUAAUAUGUUUGUUCUACAAUUGUGUUUGAACAGGCUGAAGCAAGUUCAAACAUGAAUCUACUUCUCUAGAUAGGAAUCGUGUAAAUUUCUAAUAUAAAUAUAAACGUAGAUUUUUCUGAAUUAUCCAUUCUGCUUCCACCUUUUAUUGUGCAAGGAUGUCCAAGAAAAAAUUAUCCAUUGAAGAAAUAAGACAUUAUCUUGAGUGCACAUCGUACUCCGAUUCAGAAGGUGAGGAUUUCCAGUUGGAAAAAGAUGAAGAAUAUCUCCAACCACCUCAAUCAAGUUCUUAUGAUUCUGAUGACUAUUCUGAUGUUUUUGACAAGCCUGUUGAUUUCAAGAAAUGCGAGGAUGUAAUCAAGUGACUCAAUUCCCGUCUUCUAAGAAACAUAAAUCAACCGACUUAUUAGAAAAGUCAAUGUAUGUUGGCAAGGAUAACACUAUCUGGAACAAACAAAUAGGAAAUGGAGAAAUUUCACCCCGUUUUAACCAAGAAAACAUUUUGAAGGAAGUCUCUGGUCAAUCAUCAUUUGCAAAACGUAACAUCAUUACUGAUAAAACAUUACCAGCUUUUGAACUCUUGAUCGAUAAUUAUAUUAUUGGUCACAUUGUAAAAAGGACAAUAGUUGAGGCUCGUUCAAAAAUUAAGAAUGAUGUAUGCACAACCAGCAAACGAGAAAUACUCCAACUGAUACUGCAAUACUGUAUACGAGAGGAAUCUUAGCCAAAGGGUAGCCGACAGAAGUCAUUUGGUCAAGAAAAUUGGGGAUCAAUCUCUUUAGGAAUACUAUCCCUUGAGACAGAUAUAAGGAAUUAUUGAGAUAUAUCCGCUUUGAUAUUCGUUCCACAAGAUCACAAAGACUUCAAAACGACAAGUUCGCCUUCAAUGGCAUGGGAUUGAUUUGUCGAAAAUUGUAAGUCAUCAUAAAGGUCAGGUGAAAAUAUUACCAUUGAUGACCAACUAUUCCCAACAAAAGCUAGAUCUCCAUUUACCCAAUAUAUGGCUAAAAAGCCAGAUAAAUUUGGUAUAAAAUUUUGGUUAGCAGUUGAUGCAUCGUCCAAAUACUUCGUAAAUGGAUUUCCAUACUUGGGAAAAGAUUCUCAAAGACCAGCAAAUUUGUAUAUUUGUACUAAAAAAAACAGUUGUAACUUGUAAAAAAAUGCUAAUUUCUUUAAGUGUUAUUAUAAAAGUUAUGUUUAUUUUUUAAAUUAAUAAUAAAUCUUCGGA
rnacentral:lncRNA from 1 species